AGAAAUGACACUGGUGGAAAAGCCACAUCUGCAUCUGCAUCUCUGAACAGCAGUGUGCAAAAGCCAGAACCAGACCCAGGACACAUGGCUUCAGGAGGAGACAUGGACGUACAACAUGAAGAACUUAAGAAUGUUCCUACAACAGAGGAAGCUGGAGAUACACACUCUGAUGAGUCUGCUUCACAAACACCAGAAUCGCAGUAUCAAAGUAGUGAGACUCAAGAUAACCAUGAUAUUAAACCUACACCAUCAGAGCAGAGGAGCAGUGAGCAGACAGAACCAGAGGAACAGUCAGACGAGCAUCACAAAGACCAGGAUGAGGAGAAGAAAAAGGAAGAGGCUGGUUCUUCAGAACAAACAGUUUCACAGUCACAGUCUUCACAAACUGGGUCAGCUGAAUCUGAGGACAAAAAUGGUGAAAAGAAUCCAGAGGGAAACCCAGACCAAGGGUCAAAUCAGCAGCCUGAUCAGUCUCUGCACCCAGCAACAUCAUCUGGAGCCUCUGAUGUUGAUAAAGAGGCUCCAG
ensembl:lncRNA